rnacentral:misc_RNA from 1 species
UCACGCCCGAAGUCGUUACUCUAACCGUUCGCGGAGGAGGGCGCCGAAGGCAGGGCUGAUGACUGGGGUGAAGUCGUAACAAGGUAGCCGUACCGGAAGGUGUGGCUGGAUCACCUCCUUUAAAGGGAGACCUUGCUUUCAAACUAUUGAAAUCGGUUGGGAGGGAAAAGUUGAAAGGAAUCAGUCAAUAACUGAAAACUGGAAACUGAAAACUGUUUUGGGCUAUUAGCUCAGGUGGUUAGAGCGCACCCCUGAUAAGGGUGAGGACCCUGGUUCAAGUCCAGGAUGGCCCACCAGAAAGCACCUUGAAAACUGCAUAGAAAGACAAGAAACCAAGUCAGGUAGAGAGCCUUUGAGAAAGAGCAGGUCAAGCUAGAAAGAGCUAACGGCGGAUACCUAGGCACACAGAGG